rnacentral:rRNA from 1 species
CCUACGGGAGGCAGCAGUCUAGAAAUUUGGGCAAUGGGCGAAAGCCUGACCCAGCGACGCCGCGUGAGGGAUGACGUCCUUCGGGAUGUAAACCUUUGUUGAGGGGGACGAUGAUGACGGUACCCCUCGAGGAAGCCUCGGCUAACUCCGUGCCAGCAGCCGCGGUAAU